UACAGAGGUCUCAAGCGUUGUUCGGAUUCAUUGGGCGUAAAGGGUGCGUAGGCGGCGCGGUAAGUCGGUGUGAAAUCUCGGAGCUUAACUCCGAAACUGCAUUCGAUACUGCGGUGCUUGAGGACUGGAGAGGAGACUGGAAUUCAUGGUGUAGCAGUGAAAUGCGUAGAGAUCAUGAGGAAGACCAGUGGCGAAGGCGGGUCUCUGGACAGUUCCUGACACUGAGACACGAAGGCCAGGGGAGCAAACGGG
rnacentral:rRNA from 1 species